CGGCGGACGGGUGAGUAAUGCCUAGGAAUCUGCCUGGUAGUGGGGGACAACGUUUCGAAAGGAACGCUAAUACCGCAUACGUCCUACGGGAGAAAGCAGGGACCUUCGGGCCUUGCGCUAUCAGAUGAGCCUAGGUCGGAUUAGCUAGUUGGUGAGGUAAUGGCUCACCAAGGCGACGAUCCGUAACUGGUCUGAGAGGAUGAUCAGUCACACUGGAACUGAGACACGGUCCAGACUCUACGGGAGGCAGCAGUG
rnacentral:rRNA from 1 species